AUAUUUUGCAGUGUCAAUAAAGCAAGAACUUGAUUCUGCAUUGGUGGAUAUGAUUGUAAUGGAUGCACAACCAUUUUCAAUUGUUGAAGACAAAGGCUUCAAGGCUUUUGUCAACCUUUUGGACCCAUCCUACAUAAUUCCUAAUAGUACAGGAGAAGUACAAAGCCAAAAAGGAGAAGGCUUUAGAUGUGGUAAGCAGGGCCUCUGCUGUCAGCCUUACAGCAGAUAUGUGGACAUCCAUUAACAUGGACGCUUACUUGGCUGCCAUUUUAUCACCGAGGAGGUGGAGCUGGCCUCUGUGGUCUUGGGGGUUCUGAAGUUUCCCCAAACCCACACUGCAGCUCACUUGGCUGAGGCCAAAAAUCUUCUCAUGGAAGAAUGGGGAAUUAAAGGGAAGGUGACAGGCCUGGUUACAGACUGUGCUCCCAACAUGGUUGCAUGUGCUAAUAUAUUACUGCUUCGGCACAUAAUGUGUUUUGCACAUAUGCUUAAUUUGGUGGUGAAAAAGUCCCUUGCCCAAACCCCUGAACUAGAGGAUAUCCGAAGUAAGGGGCGUAGGAUUGUCGGUCUUUUUAAAUCCAGCACCACAGCGAAGGAGAAGCUGUCAGAGAUGCAGCGACAGCUGGCCAGGCCAGAGCACAAAUUAAUACAAGAGGUGGAAACAAGAUGGAACAGCACAUUUAAUAUGUUGGAAAGGUUGUUUAAGGAGAGAGAGCCACUGGGGGCAGCUCUGGCCACCCUCCAUACAGACCUUCCUCCACUCACCUCAGAGGACUACCAGGCCAUACACCACUGCUUGAGCAUUCUUUCACCGUUUCAAUAGGGCACAGUUGAGCUUUCGACAGAAAAACGAGUGUCAGCAUCCAAAGUCAUUCCCAUGGUCAAAAUGCUGAAACAUUACAUCUCAAGCAGGUGUGGUCAGAUCACACACCCACUUGGUGAAAAACUGGCCACUAACUUGAAGAACAAUCUCCAUGAGAGGUUUUCAGCUCUGGAGAAGGUCAAUGCUCUGUCAAUGGCAACCUUGAUGGACCCAAGGUUUAAAGAGCUGGGGUUCUGCAGCCAAGGCUCUGCCCACACGGCCAUAGAGCGACUCACUAAAGAGUGUGCUGCAACAAUGCAGGCGCUACUUCCAGAGGCACAGCCACAGUCGCCACCUAGAGAAGGUCCUUCAAGUCAGCAGGAAGAUGGUGGUCUCUGGGCCCUGCUGGACAGGCAUGUGGGGGUUCAACAGCAGGUGACCAGCACAACUGCCAGUGCAACAGUGGAGGUUCAGAGGUACUUAAAGGAACCUCACAUCCCAAGGACUCAGGACCCACUGAGAUACUGGGUUACCCACAAGGUUUUAUACCCACAUCUCUACAAGCUGGCAAUGAAGUUUUUAUGCACACCAGCUUCAUCUGUGCCUUGUGAGAGGAUCUUCUCCAAGGCUGGCGAAAUCGUCAGCCAAAGACGAAACAGGCUGAAGCCCAGCACAGUGGAGAAAAUUCUGUUUUUAAAUAAAAAUCUAUAACAUGUA